rnacentral:lncRNA from 1 species
UGUAAUUUACAAUUGUAAGUUUCUAAUAUAUUAACUCAAUCAUUGGCGCUAAUUCCUGUAAACACCAUCUAAUUUUAUUUUAAGUUAUAUCUGUCAUUUUCUUAUCCGCCGAAAAGGAAAGGGACGGGUAAUCGACAAGCAUAAAAUUUAUGGAACACACGUCAAUUUUAAGCACAAAUCUAAAACAACCGUCUAAAAAUUCGCCCGGGUUAUUCAUUUAUUUACUCAUUCUUCCUAAAAUUAAGAGCUGUCAAUCAUCCGUCCCUUUCCUUUUC